UACCUGAUCAGCGGCGGCACCGGCUAC
rnacentral:piRNA from 1 species